GAUGAACGCUGGCGGCGUGCCUAAUACAUGCAAGUCGAGCGAACAGACGAGGAGCUUGCUCCUUUGACGUUAGCGGCGGACGGGUGAGUAACACGUGGGUAACCUACCUAUAAGACUGGGAUAACUUCGGGAAACCGGAGCUAAUACCGGAUAAUAUUUCGAACCGCAUGGUUCGAUAGUGAAAGAUGGCUUUGCUAUCACUUAUAGAUGGACCUGCGCCGUAUUAGCUAGUUGGUAAGGUAACGGCUUACCAAGGCAACGAUACGUAGCCGACCUGAGAGGGUGAUCGGCCACACUGGAACUGAGACACGGUCCAGACUCCUACGGGAGGCAGCAGUAGGGAAUCUUCCGCAAUGGGCGAAAGCCUGACGGAGCAACGCCGCGUGAGUGAUGAAGGUCUUCGGAUCGUAAAACUCUGUUAUUAGGGAAGAACAAACGUGUAAGUAACUGUGCACGUCUUGACGGUACCUAAUCAGAAAGCCACGGCUAACGACG
rnacentral:rRNA from 1 species